rnacentral:lncRNA from 1 species
UUUUGCAGGCAGGAAAUGAAUCUAAGACAGCAAGCGAGGGAUGCCUGGGUGGCUCAGUCAGUUGAGCAUCUGCCUUCCCUCAGGUCUUGAUCUCAGGGUCCUGGGAUUGAGUCCUGCAGCAGGCUCCCUGCUCAGUAGAGUCUGCUUCUCCCUCUCCCUCUGCCCCUACCCCUACUCAUGCUCCCUCACUCUCUCUCUCUCAAAUAAAUAAAUAAAUAAAUAAAAAUUUUAAAAAGCAGCAAGUGAUAUUCACAAUUGGAGGCAAUUUGGUUUGGUGAAGUGAGUGUGUACUUAGGGGUCAGAUGGAGCUGGAUGAACUUGGGAAACAGCACCUCUCUGAGCCUUCAUUCUUUUAUCGGUAAAAUGGGGACAGAAAUGCUUGACUCACACAAUCCUUGUGAUAGUAAACCACAAAAUGCUUCGCACAGUCCCUGGCACAUAGUAGGCCCUAGCAAGUCUUUCUUCCAUACCUCCCUUCUGCUGUUUACCAUAAAUGAUAUGUUCUUGAUUGAAUCAGAUUUCGUCAGUAACAACUACUAUGAGGGCAUUGCAGAAUGUUCCGGAGGUACACUGGAGCUCCUCCGGUGGAACGCUCACCACAGAAGAUUUGGAUUCCCUAAGCAGUCAGGCUCCCCCUCCCAUAACUCAUCUGUCUACUUCACGUUCAAAUGCCACCGGGCCCUCUCCACACUGCCCAGGGGGAGCUCGAGCUCAGGGAGCCAACCUAAGUGCAUAGAUUCUGGCUUCUAUUUAUUGUAACAACAAGUCCUUUUUCUCUGACCCAGGAGUCUUGUGUCUUCUGCUCAGACUAUGAAACUGUGGAUGGCAACCUUGUUUGCUUGAAAACAGGGUAAAAUCUCAAAUACCUCACAGCGCUUAAUGACUGUCAUUAAAAAUUAGAGGUAGGGGUAAUGCGACCAUAUGAAGAACAAAAUGAAUACCCCCCCCAUAUACACACACAUAUAUUUAAAUCAGGGCAGUUUUAAAAAUCCCUCUACUAAAUAUGGGGAGACCUGAUUUAUAGAACACAGGGUGUUGGACCCGAUGUGUGUGAGUCAUGGUCUGCUGAGUCACUCUUAACUGGCAAUCUUGCAGCUGGAAUACUCAUCACCAAGAGCCAGGUCAUAUGCUGAUGGCAGUGAAUUCUUCCCUAAUUUUAAAAAAUAAUAAUAAUGAGUUCAAAUAAACCAUUGUGAAAUGUGCCUUGGCUCUCCCUGUCUCCAGGGGGUCAGGUAGGCAGAUCCUCCCACGUACUCAACUAACUGGGUGGCCGCCGAUGAGGUGAGACUGAUCUGAAAAUCCCCAUCAAUAUUUCUUUUAUAUUCUAAAGUCCCUUUUUUUCCUCCAAUCUAGGCAUUAAUAUAUUCAAAAAAGAAUAAUAACAUUCAUAUCUGAUGUCAGCUUCAAAGCUCCCCUUAAGGCCUCUCAGGCACCUCCUGCCAUC